rnacentral:snRNA from 1 species
GGAUGUGAGGGCAAUCUGGCUGUGACAUCUGUCACUCCCUGGAUCGCCAGGGUUGAUUUGGCAGAUCCGGCUGGCUAGGUGGCUGUCCCCUCCUCCCUUCCUCACCACUCAGUCUGCAUCCCUUCCAAAGCUGCACACUUGGUCAAAGAGGAUGACCUUCCCAGAUACACGAGGACCGUUUUUGGUCUAGGGUAUGUGAGUCCUUGUGUUCCCCCAUCCAAACCUCCAAGCAAGCUCUGAAGGAGCCCCUCUCAGUGGCAGCAGAGAGUUAGCAGUUAACAGCAUGAGUUCUGGGUUCAGAUCCUACAGCACCUCUGACUGGUGACGUUG